rnacentral:rRNA from 1 species
UUACACAUGCAGUCGAGGGGUAACAGGAGUAGCUUGCUAUUUGCUGACGACCGGCGCACGGGUGCGUAACGCGUAUAGAAUCUACCUUAUACUGGGGGAUAGCCUUUGGAAACGAAGAUUAAUACCCCAUAGUAUUAUUUUUUGGCAUCAUUAAAUAAUUAAAGUUUCGGCGGUAUAAGAUGACUAUGCGUUCUAUUAGUUAGUUGGUAAGGUAACGGCUUACCAAGACUUCGAUAGAUAGGGGUCCUGAGAGGGAGAUCCCCCACACUGGUACUGAGACACGGACCAGACUCCUACGGGAGGCAGCAGUGAGGAAUAUUGGACAAUGGAGGCAACUCUGAUCCAGCCAUGCCGCGUGUAGGAAGACUGCCCUAUGGGUUGUAAACUACUUUUAUAUGGGAAGAAUAAGAUCUACGUGUAGAUUGAUGACGGUACCAUAAGAAUAAGCACCGGCUAACUCCGUGCCAGCAGCCGCGGUAAUACGGAGGGUGCAAGCGUUAUCCGGAAUCAUUGGGUUUAAAGGGUCCGUAGGCGGGCAUAUAAGUCAGUGGUGAAAGUCUGUGGCUUAACCAUAGAAUUGCCAUUGAUACUGUAUGUCUUGAAUUAUUGUGAAGUGGUUAGAAUAUGUAGUGUAGCGGUGAAAUGCUUAGAGAUUACAUAGAAUACCGAUUGCGAAGGCAGAUCACUAACAAUAUAUUGACGCUGAUGGACGAAAGCGUAGGUAGCGAACAGGAUUAG